ACCAUUUCAGAGGUACUGUCACUCCCAGCCGUAUCAUAGCACUGAAAUAACAACACAUAUUUUAAGAUUUCUUAAGCAAAACGCAAGAUUUUACGAUAUUUGUAUUUGUAUUAUAGAAAAUAACGUUUUACUACAAGGGAAUACAAUGCCUUUUACAUUUCAAGAGGGGAAUAAGACGUCGAGUAUAGCUAACUGGAGCAUCGUUGCAUUGGUGAUUUACACUAUGGCUUUGCCUGCAUCUAGUAUGGAUGUCCUGUACCAUAGCCAGAUCACUGUCUUGAAUGGCACCGUGGUGAGUUUCCAGUGCACAUUCACCUCCUGCUAUAAAAUGGAUGUCAACAAGUUUGCCAUGAACUGGACCUACCAGGAGAACUUCAAUGCGACUGAGGAGAUGUUUAUGACCUAUAAGAAGGGGAUGGUGCCCUUGCGAACAGAGCAGUUUGGUGAUCGUGUGCAGUUUGUGGGCAACCUGGACAAGAACGACUUGUCCAUCACCCUCUCUGAUGUCCAGCUGUCAGACGAAGGCAUCUACCACUGCUACGUCCGCAACCCACCUGACCGUAUCCUGGGGCACGGAGAAACCAAACUGUUUGUCGUCACUGAACUGCCUCCCCCGCGGGACUCAACCAUAGCAGUGGCGAUUGGGGCAUCUGUGGGAGGGGCGCUGGCACUGCUCAUCCUGUCCAUGGUGGUGGUGAAGUGUGUUCGGCACCACAAGAAACAAGAGCUCAUUUCUGAUGAGCAGAAGAUAGAGGAGGAGGGUAAACUGGACCCUGAGGGGGGCACCGAGGACGGAACAAAGCAGCUAUAACCCGACUGCUUGGUCCCGGAGGCCCAAGAUCCAUUGGAGCCCGAACUUCUCCCACCCUCACACUGAAAAGCAUUCCUACCUGAAGAUGUACAGUGACCCUGCUUGAAUCUCUGUCUGUCGUCUGUCUCACCGAAGCCCAAUCCCUCCUCUUGUACCAUCCAACAAGAUACCGUUAUGGGAGGUCCCUGCCACCAGACAUGCCAACCACGAAACCCUGCCUCUGUUCAGUUGGCCAUCUUAUCUCGUAUCUUCUCUGACGGGAAGCCGCAAAAGGUGGAGAACAUUGAUGGAAGCCUACAAACACUUAGUUCUCGCUUCUAAUUCGUCUUCUUAGAGAGGCAUGAACUAGAGUGAAUGGAUGGUUUGGCCCUGAUUACUAGGAAGGCUCCUGCUCUGCAUGCAACCUUUCCUGCCCUUCUCUCUUCAGAAAAUAUCUGAAACACUCUCUUGAAUCUUUGAGUCUCUCUCUCUCUCUCUCUCCCUCUCCAUUAUGCCCCAUCCAUCUCUUUCAUUUUUUGUGUCUCUCUCCAGACCUUCCAGGAUUGCAUGAUUUCUGGAAAAAAGUCCCUGCAUAUUAUGUGAGGUCUGACAAAGUUGAUAAAUCAUUGCACUAUUUUUGCAUAAACAGUCAUGUUAUUGAAUUAUUAUCACAAAAACUGUCUUUCUAAUUCUCUCACCCUCUGUCUGUGUAUAGUAUUAAAAUUGCGGUUUUCGACCAUACAACUGAAUAGCUAAAGGUUUUACUUCCAAAUCAUGAUUAUUUCUUAUAUUUCUCUCUUUCUUCCUUCAUCACAUUACGGUGUAAAUGGCUGGGCCGUCUGACAGCUUGUGUGUGUGUCCAAAUGACAACCUUUCUGUGUGAGAACGGUGUUGAUGGAUUUGUGUGUCCUGCUUUUUAUGUACAGGGUAUUAGCUUGUGUGUGUGUGUUUUGGUGUGUGUGUGUGGAUGGGUAAAAUGUAUUUGACUUUGGUUCAAGCAAGCAUCCCUUUCUUCAAAUGCAGAUAAGUUCCCCGAACUGAUAGAUUAAGGAUAUCAGUCUCUUCUGAACCCUUGCUUGACUCCAAGAUUAUAUAUUUUAACAUGAACGGUUCACUUAUACAUCGAGAUAACAAACAUCACUAUUACUAUUAAUGGCAUUAAUAAUAAUACCUUGAGGCCCAAAUAUCUAUACAUCACUCUGUGAUGUUGUAAUGAUCGAUGUGGUACAAAGUGCCCAGUCACCAGUGUAUCCCAGUAGUCUAUCUAUAGUCACCAUUACACAGCACCAGAAUCUCUGACCUGACUGAGUACACAGACCCACAGAUGACACGUGAUACACACAAGAGCCGUACAUCUCAUGCAGCUGAGCACUUUCAGGGAUAAAACACAAGAAAGUAUGAUAGUUACAAUUAUUUUUUAACCAACUAGGUUUUAACCAAAACGUUCCAAGCAGUCCUCUUAAGGAGUGCUUCAAUUCCUGCCACUCUUUAGGUGUGUGGUCCUCACUGUCUUAAACUAAAAAUGUUUGAAUGUAUGGGACCUCUUUUGUCUGAGGUAAUGGUUGUUCUUUGGAUGUUACAUAUAUUUAGCUAAUUGUUACUAGUAUUAUUGUUUUUAAUAAGUUUACUUUACAAACUACUUUUAAAAUAGCUAUUCAGUUAAAUACACGUUUUCUAUUCACACUUGCAAUGUUUCAGAAGUAGCUUAAUUUACAAUGUUCAUCCUGUGCUAACAAGAGGGUCCUCUUGUAAAAGUUGUCAGUUUUUAUACGGUACCCAAGACCAGUUUAUUUAAUCUUAUCAUGGGAAGAAGAGCAACCACAUAUCGAAUGCAAUGAGGUAUUGAGUAAAAGCCAACUUGGGGCAUAAAAACUUUCAAAUGCCUCUUUUUUAAUUUGACAAUAAAGAACAGGUGGCUCAUCAAUUAUGUCAAUAAACUACUCCCAUUAACGAGAUAUGCAUGUAGCAUCCAGAGUAAAGGAACACAGGCUCUGCUAUUACUCCUUCAGUAUUUGUAUACGUUAAUUUCACAGGUCUGUUUUGGACUGAAGCUGUAGAGCUCUGUAAGAAACAUGUUAAUACAGUAUGAUGGUGGAUUGAUCGGCUAUACUGAUUGGCCAAAAGUCCUAAUUAUUUUCUGCCCAUGUCGGCCUUUAAAUUAAGCCCCAAUUCUCCAGAAGUACAGAUAAACUGUCGCUGAGCAAUAUCACAUCCUUAAAUGUAUAGGAUUAUAUAAGGUAUUUAAAUAGUCAAUCUUUGUCACAUGUUGUCUUCAUUUUAAGCUUUCUGUCUAAAAGUCUGAGCUUUGUAUUUCCCAACACCAUGUUGGGGAGUGAAUUGCCUAUGGGAGUGAUUAUAGUUUAUGACUGUGUUCAAAGGCAGAAUAUGCCUGGGUUGCUCAGAUUUGUCUAGUUUGGUUUAAAGAGAUUUAGUGGUCACGCUGAUCCUGUGUUCAGGGGUGUCCUACCUCAGCUGGGAACAGUAUCUGCAUUCAUUCAUCUACAUGCAUAGACUGCCGUUAUGCCAUUCACUGCCAAAGCUUUUGUCUAAUCAGAUUUGUUGUAAUUUAGAUUUACUUGAGUAUUGUGUUUUGAUAUUCCUUAAUUUUGUUCCACAUAAUCAUGUUAAUUUGUGUUGUGACUUCAUGGUUGUUCUCAGUGUUAAUCAAGUGGUAGCCAUCAUUUCUUGAUCUUUGGUGAGUUGUCUUUGAGUUUGGGAGCUCACCUCUGAAACAUCACUAAUCAAACAGUGCGAGGUCAGUGCUGAUUUAACCCUGGAGGUUGUGCAUUCUUCAGUCCUUGAAUGUGCAAUUUUGUGACCGUGGUGUAAAUCAGUAGCGUGUCUUAGACAUCGGUUAGAUACAUGGUAAGAAUUAUUGUAUUGUAUGGGGAGCUUGUUGUUACAGAUAUGAGAUUAUAACUAUCAUUCAAACUUCCCAAAGUAAAGAAGGUACCUUAAGAAUGAUAAAAUAUGUAAAAUGUAGAUUGUAUUGUAUUUUUCACAAUCAUAACCCUACUGAGGGUGGUUUGAGGACAGAUGAGGACAGAGAAGCAGAUGUUCUAGAAAAUAAUAUUGGUAACCUAUUGAAAAAACCAUGACCUCCAUUUUCCAUGGCAUUCAUGUUGACAACUAGGCUAGAGGGAAUGCUGGGAUAGCUACCUAGGUUAGUGAAGGACCCAGUGUCAUGUGUCUUCCUAUCUGUGUGUGUUCAUGCAUGCUUUACUGCAGUGUUCCACUGCGACGCAUGGCUCUAACCAGGCACAGAACACCAAAAAGGCAUGCACUGCACUGUGUCUCUUAAGAAGAACCUGUAAUCAUUAUUGUGUUUUGAAAUAAAAUGAACUGCAGUA